rnacentral:rRNA from 1 species
UACGUAGGGGCCAAGCGUUGUCCGGAUUUAUUGGGCGUAAAGAGCUCGUAGGCGGUUCGGCAAGUCAGCUGUGAAAUCUCCACGCUCAACGUGGAGGGGUCAGCUGAUACUGCUGUGACUUGAGUCCGGUAGGGGAGUGUGGAAUUCCCGGUGUAGCGGUGAAAUGCGCAGAUAUCGGGAGGAACACCAGUAGCGAAGGCGGCACUCUGGGCCGGUACUGACGCUGAGGAGCGAAAGCGUGGGGAGCAAAGCAGGAUUAAGAAA